AGAGUUUGAUCCUGGCUCAGGAUGAACGCUAGCUACAGGCUUAACACAUGCAAGUCGAGCGGUAUGUGCUUUAGUGCAUACAGCGGCAGACGGGUGAGUAACACGUAUCUAACCUUCCCCUUACUUGGGCAUAGCCUCUGGAAACGGAGAUUAAUUUCCGAUGUGGUGUACAUUUCGCAUGUUUUGCGCACCAAAGAUUUAUCGGUAAGGGAUGGGGAUGCGCUCCAUUAGGUUGUAGGUAGGGUAAUGGCCUACCUAGCCUAUGAUGGAUAGGGGUUCUGAGAGGAAGGUCCCCCACAUUGGAACUGCGACACGGUCCAAACUCCUACGGGAGGCAGCAGUGAGGAAUAUUGGUCAAUGGCCGGAAGGCUGAACCAGCCAAGUAGCGUGCAGGAUGACUGCCUUAUGGGUUGUAAACUGCUUUUUUACGGGAAUAAUUAUGAUCACGUGUGAUUAUUUGCAUGUACCGUAAGAAUAAGGAUCGGCUAACUCCGUGCCAGCAGCCGCGGUAAUACGGAGGAUCCUAGUGUUAUCCGGAUUUAUUGGGUUUAAAGGGAGCGUAGGCGGGAGGUCAAGUCAGCUGUGAAAUGUAUCUGCUUAACGGGUACACUGCAGUUGAAACUGGUUUUCUUGAGUGCGUAAGAGGCAGGCGGAAUUCGUUGUGUAGCGGUGAAAUGCUUAGAUAUGACGAGGAACUCCUAUUGCGAAGGCAGCUUGCUGGGUCGUUACUGACGCUGAUGCUCGAAGGUGCGGGGAUCAAACAGGAUUAGAUACCCUGGUAGUCCGCACAGUAAACUAUGGAUACUCUCUGCCGGCGAUACAUUGUCGGUGGCCAAGCGAAAGCGUUAAGUAUCCCACCUGGGGAGUACGUUCGCAAGAAUGAAACUCAAAGGAAUUGACGGGGGCCCGCACAA
rnacentral:rRNA from 1 species